rnacentral:rRNA from 1 species
UCAAGUGAAUAAGAGCAUAAGGUGGAUGCCUUGGCACUGGGAGCCGAUGAAGGACGUGACAAGCUGCGAUAAGCUACGGGGAGGAGCACAUAUCCGUCAAUCCGUAGAUUUCCGAAUGGGGGAACCCACCUAUAGUAAUGUGUAGGUAUUUUCGUAUGAAUCUAUAGUACGAAUAAAGGCAACCCGGGGAACUGAAACAUCUAAGUACCCAGAGGAAGAGAAAGAAAAAUCGAUUUCCUAAGUAGCGGCGAGCGAAAGGGAAAGAGGCCAAACCGUUAGUUUACUAACGGGGUUGUGGAUCACAGCCGUGGUAGAUACAAGUUUAGCAGAAGACAACUGGAAAGUUUGCGACAUAGAGGGUAAUAUCCCCGUAUGCGAAAAAUGAGUAUCACCUAUGUGACACCAGAGUAGGACCGAACACGUGGAAUUCGGUUUGAAGCCGGGGGGCCCACCCCCCAAGCCUAAAUACUACCCAGUGACCGAUAGUGAAUAGUACCGUGAGGGAAAGGUGAAAAGGACCCCGGGAGGGGAGUGAAAUAGAACCUGAAACCUUAUGCUUACAAGCAGAGGGAGCGCAAGUGACCUCGUACUUUUUGUAGAACGGGCCAACGAGUUAUGGUAUGCAGCGAGGUUAAGGUGCUGGAGCACUGGAGCCGUAGAGAAAUCGAGUCUGAAAGGGCGAAAGUUGCAUGCUGUAGACCCGAAACCGGGUGAUCUAUCCAUGUCCAGGUUGAAGUAACUGUAAUAGGUUAUGGAGGACCGAACUUAUAUCUGUUGAAAAAGGUUAGGAUGAGGUGUGGAUAGGGGUGAAAUUCCAAUCGAACUCGGAUAUAGCUGGUUCUCCUCGAAAUAGCUUUAGGGCUAGCCUCGUAGUAAGAUACCUGGGGGUAGAGCACUGAAUGUUCUAGGGGCCUUCACCGGUUACCGAAAACUAUCAAACUCCGAAUACCAGAGUAUCAUCUACGGGAGUCAGACUAUGUGAGAUAAGUUUCAUAGUCGAAAGGGAAACAGCCCAGACCGUCAGCUAAGGUCCCAAAAUAUAGGUUAAGUGGAAAAGGAUGUGGGGUUGCACAGACAGCUAGGAUGUUGGCUUAGAAGCAGCCAUUCAUUCAAAGAGUGCGUAAUAGCUCACUAGUCGAGUGACCCUGCGCCGAAGAUAAACGGGGCUAAAACCUAUUACCGAAGCUACGGAUACUUAAUGUAUGGUAGAGGAGCGUCGUAUACGGGUUGAAGCAGUACUGUAAGGUAUUGUGGACUUUAUACGAGAGAGAAUGUUGGCAUGAGUAGCGCGAGGCAGGUGAGAAUCCUGCCCACCGAAAAUCUAAGGUUUCCUGAGGAAGGUUCGUCCACUCAGGGUUAGUCGGGGCCUAAGCCGAGGGCGAAAGCCAUAGGCGAUGGAUAACAGGUAGAAAUUCCUGUACCACCGAAGGUUGUUUGAAUGAUGUGGGGACACAGGAGGAUAAGCUGAGCACGCCGUUGGUAGAGCGUGUCCAAGCGUCAAGGGAGUAUGAAUAGGCAAAUCCGUUCAUAUAUAUUCUGAGGCGUGAUGGGGUGGUCAAUAGACCGGAAGCAGCUGAUUUCACACUGUCAAGAAAAGCCGCUAAUUAGACCUAAGGUGCCCGUACCGCAAACCGACACAGGUAGAUGAGGAGAGAAUCCUAAGGUGAGCGAGAGAACUAUUGUUAAGGAACUCGGCAAAAUAACCCCGUAACUUCGGGAGAAGGGGUGCCUGCUUCGGCAGGCCGCAGUGAAAAGGCCCAGGCAACUGUUUACCAAAAACACAGGUCUCUGCAAAAGCGAAAGCUGAAGUAUAGGGGCUGACGCCUGCCCGGUGCUGGAAGGUUAAGGGGACGUGUCAUCGCAAGAGAAGCACUGAACUUAAGCCCCAGUAAACGGCGGCCGUAACUAUAACGGUCCUAAGGUAGCGAAAUUCCUUGUCGGGUAAGUUCCGACCCGCACGAAAGGCGUAAUGA